CGAGGAGACAGUGAGAUGAAACUUCUGAGUGAAAGUAAAGCAAACAGCGCGGUGGAUUGUGCAUACUCUAGUCUACACCAAGGUAUGACAAGUUCUGACUACUUCAUUAUAUUUCUAGGAAGGGCACAUUGAUCCAGGAGAAAAGACACACCCUAAAGUCACACUGCAAGUCAUCCCAAUCAAUUGUUCUUCCUGCCAGAAAAUUGUGUUGUUCUGACAAGACACACCACAGUAUGCUAUGAUGAAUGACCAUGAAUGGGCCAAAAGCUGCUAUAGCACAGAAACGCUAUUUUAGCAACC